rnacentral:tRNA from 1 species
GCCGGCGUAGCUCAGUUGGUAGAGCAACUGAUUUGUAAUCAGUAGGUCAUUGGUUCGAUUCCGAUCGUCGGCUCCA